AGCUUGUUAGCGCAGGUGGGUAGAGCGACGUGUUGGGAACACGGAGGUCGUGAGUUCGAAUCUCACAUAAGAGG
rnacentral:tRNA from 1 species